rnacentral:rRNA from 1 species
UACGUAGGGGGCAAGCGUUGUCCGGAUUUAUUGGGCGUAAAGAGCUCGUAGGCGGUCUGUCGCGUCGGCUGUGAAAACCCGGAGCUCAACUCCGGGCCUGCAGUCGAUACGGGCAGACUAGAGUGCGGUAGGGGAGACUGGAAUUCCUGGUGUAGCGGUGAAAUGCGCAGAUAUCAGGAGGAACACCGGUGGCGAAGGCGGGUCUCUGGGCCGUAACUGACGCUGAGGAGCGAAAGCGUGGGGAGCGAACAGG